UACGAAGGGGGCUAGCGUUGUUCGGAAUUACUGGGCGUAAAGGGCGCGUAGGCGGUACUUCAAGUCAGGCGUGAAAGCCCCGGGCUUAACCUGGGAACUGCAUUGGUGACUGGCAGGCUUUGAGUGUGGCAGAGGGAGGUAGAAUUCCACGUGUAGCAGUGAAAUGCGUAGAGAUGUGGAGGAAUACCGAUGGCGAAGGCAGCCUCCUGGGCCAACACUGACGCUCAUGCACGAAAGCGUGGGGAGCAAACAGG
rnacentral:rRNA from 1 species